rnacentral:rRNA from 1 species
UACAGGGGGGGCAAGCGUUGUUCGGAAUUACUGGGCGUAAAGGGUCUGUAGGUGGCCAACUAAGUCAGACGUGAAAUCCCUCAGCUUAACUGGGGAACUGCGUCUGAUACUGGAUGGCUUGAGUGUGGGAGAGGAGUGCGGAAUUCCAGGUGUAGCGGUGAAAUGCGUAGAUAUCUGGAGGAACACCGGUGGCGAAGGCGGCAUUCUGGACCAUAACUGACACUGAGAGACGAAAGCCAGGGGGGCAAACGGG